rnacentral:rRNA from 1 species
GCUGGCAACCCGGCGCCAAGACGUGCGCGCAAGGGCGGGCGCCCGCGGGCGAGCAGCGUGACGCAGCGACGGCCCGCCCGGGCUUCCGGGGCAUCACCCGGUCGGCGCGGUCGCGGCGCGCCGAGGGCCCGACGCCUGGCGGAGAAUCAGGGUUCGACUCCGGAGAGCGGGCCUGAGAGACGGCCCGCACAUCCAAGGACGGCAGCAGGCGCGGAACUUGCCCAAUGCGCGCGCGCGAGGCAGCGACGGGGAGUGCGCGAGCGAGGCGGGCCCACAGCCCCCGCCGCGGAGCCGAGGGCAAGGUCUGGUGCCAGCAGCCGCGGUAAUUCCAGCUCGGCGGGCGUCGCGUGGCGCUGCUGCAGUUAAAACGCCCGUAGUUGGCCCCCCGCCGCCACGAGGAAACGGGAGCGCUCCAGGCAGGCCCGUUGGACCCGCCGCGUGGGACCGCGCAGCGGGCGCGGCGCGCCGCGGCAGCCCCGAGGAGAG